AUGGUGAAGGAGCGACGACCCCUCGAUCUAUUCGCGACGCGAACGCCGCCGCCUGGCAGAUCCCAGGCGCUAGCCGUGGAUCCCUUUGCCGGCUCCGAGGGGUCGUGGAGGCGCCGCCGCCGAGGUCCUAAAGGAGGUGCCGCCGCCAUCGUUGUGGACCUCCGGGUCGCCACCGGGACACCUCUGCUGAGGUACGCCUUCGCCUUCGCACGCCGCCUACCUCUCCUAUCGCGAUCCCCUCGAUCCCCAUUUGCCGCCAUCGUACGCACCUCGAUCCCCUCGAACGCCCGCGCACAGCCGCCCUCUCCCGUCUCCCCCACACAUAGCUGCUCUCUUCCCCGCCAGUGCUGCCCUCUUCCCCGCCCUCAAGCGGGGAUGCCCCAGAUCGAGUCUCGCAAGUCAGCGGGGCAGCGGCCAGAUCUGCCUCGGCCACAUCUCGUCCAGAUGGAUGGCUCUAGGAGAGGUAGAUCAAGGGGACAGGUACCGUGUGGGUCUUCUCUUUCGGGACGCCGCUCCGACCCGAUCCGGUGA
rnacentral:rRNA from 1 species